UAACACAUGCAAGUCGAACGAUGAACCUCCUUCGGGAGGGGAUUAGUGGCGAACGGGUGAGUAACACGUGGGCAAUCUGCCCUGCACUCUGGGACAAGCCCUGGAAACGGGGUCUAAUACCGGAUACUGACCCGCUUGGGCAUCCAAGCGGUUCGAAAGCUCCGGCGGUGCAGGAUGAGCCCGCGGCCUAUCAGCUUGUUGGUGAGGUAAUGGCUCACCAAGGCGACGACGGGUAGCCGGCCUGAGAGGGCGACCGGCCACACUGGGACUGAGACACGGCCCAGACUCCUACGGGAGGCAGCAGUGGGGAAUAUUGCACAAUGGGCGAAAGCCUGAUGCAGCGACGCCGCGUGAGGGAUGACGGCCUUCGGGUUGUAAACCUCUUUCAGCAGGGAAGAAGCGAAAGUGACGGUACCUGCAGAAGAAGCGCCGGCUAACUACGUGCCAGCAGCCGCGGUAAUACGUAGGGCGCGAGCGUUGUCCGGAAUUAUUGGGCGUAAAGAGCUCGUAGGCGGCUUGUCACGUCGGUUGUGAAAGCCCGGGGCUUAACCCCGGGUCUGCAGUCGAUACGGGCAGGCUAGAGUUCGGUAGGGGAGAUCGGAAUUCCUGGUGUAGCGGUGAAAUGCGCAGAUAUCAGGAGGAACACCGGUGGCGAAGGCGGAUCUCUGGGCCGAUACUGACGCUGAGGAGCGAAAGCGUGGGGAGCGAACAGGAUUAGAUACCCUGGUAGUCCACGCCGUAAACGGUGGGCACUAGGUGUGGGCGACAUUCCACGUCGUCCGUGCCGCAGCUAACGCAUUAAGUGCCCCGCCUGGGGAGUACGGCCGCAAGGCUAAAACUCAAAGGGAUUGACGGGGGCCCGCACAAGCGGCGGAGCAUGUGGCUUAAUUCGACGCAACGCGAAGAACCUUACCAAGGCUUGACAUACACCGGGAAAGCAUCAGAGAUGGUGCCCCCCUUGUGGUCGUGUACAGGUGGUGCAUGGCUGUCGUCAGCUCUGGUC
rnacentral:rRNA from 1 species